GAUGAACGCUGGCGGCGUGCCUAAUACAUGCUAGUCGAGCGAACAGACGAGGAGCUUGCUCCUCUGACGUUAGCGGCGGACGGGUGAGUAACACGUGGAUAACCUACCUAUAAGACUUGGAUAACUUCGGGAAACCGGAGCUAAUACCGGAUAAUAUAUUGAACCGCAUGGUUCAAUAGUGAAAGACGGUUUUGCUGUCACUUAUAGAUGGAUCCGCGCCGCAUUAGCUAGUUGGUAAGGUAACGGCUUACCAAGGCAACGAUGCGUAGCCGACCUGAGAGGGUGAUCGGCCACACUGGAACUGAGACACGGUCCAGACUCCUACGGGAGGCAGCAGUAGGGAAUCUUCCGCAAUGGGCGAAAGCCUGACGGAGCAACGCCGCGUGAGUGAUGAAGGUCUUCGGAUCGUAAAACUCUGUUAUUAGGGAAGAACAAAUGUGUAAGUAACUAUGCACGUCUUGACGGUACCUAAUCAGAAAGCCACGGCUAACUACGUG
rnacentral:rRNA from 1 species